AGGAGAGGGGGCAUGAUUUUUGUCGACUAUAAAAACCCGUCACUGGCCAGGCUGAUUCACAGGACCUGCAGGUACGGAAAGGACCAUGUCGACUGAGGCCUUCCAUCAGAGCAACCUGGAUGUGAAACUAGGUGAGCCAGACAGGUAAAGGGUAGGGGACACAUCUGACGAAUGAAAAGCUUCGGAUUCAAAUUUUUGACAGUAUUUUCUACAGUAUUUUUGGAGUUUAUCACAGUGCACAUCCAGUACUUCGAUGGAUAAAACUGCACUUGCUUUACGUUGAGCCACACGCACAAUACAUGUGGAUUCAGUUUUGUUCGUUCGGCUCGCGUUAAGCAAGUGCAGAACUUCUUCGGUGCAAACGUCUGUGACCUUUUUGGAUUAGAAGCAUAACUGCUGUGCUUUUUUGUUUGGAAUUGUUUUUUAGAUGGAAAACCACAUAAAUGCAACCGUUGGUGUGAGAUUUUCACAGACAAAUGAAUGAGUCACAACUGAUAAUUUAUCUUCUGAAAUGGUCAUGAUUUACAAUGUCACCUGUUAUCCAACAUCAUGUUUGUUGAGUUAUUCACUUCCUCUCUUCUGUGCUGGUUUUAAAUGAGUGAGGGCGAAGUUCUCACAUAUGCUGCGGUGAUGUAAUGGCAAAAUAAAGUUCUUCUCAACUCCUCA